AUUGAACGCUGGCGGCAUGCCUUACACAUGCAAGUCGAACGGCAGCACGGGAGCUUGCUCCUGGUGGCGAGUGGCGAACGGGUGAGUAAUACAUCGGAACGUACCCUGAAGUGGGGGAUAACGUAGCGAAAGUUACGCUAAUACCGCAUAUUCUGUGAGCAGGAAAGAGGGGGAUCGCAAGACCUCUUGCUUUAGGAGCGGCCGAUGUCGGAUUAGCUAGUUGGUGAGGUAAAGGCUCACCAAGGCGACGAUCCGUAGCGGGUCUGAGAGGAUGAUCCGCCACACUGGGACUGAGACACGGCCCAGACUCCUACGGGAGGCAGCAGUGGGGAAUUUUGGACAAUGCCCGCAAGGGUGACCCAGCAACGCCGCGUGGAGGAUGAAGGCCGUAAGGUUGUAAACUCCUGUUAGAGGAGAAGAACAGUACCGAUUGGAUCGGUAUUUGACUGUACCCUCAGAGAAAGCCCCGGCUAACUACGUGCCAGCAGCCGCGGUAAU
rnacentral:rRNA from 1 species